GCCGCGGGCGAGCCGGGACACCUGGCCGCCGCAUGCUCGCGUGGCCGCGCUUGAGCAGCGCACGGGCUGCCUGGCCACCGCUAGCUCGCGUGGCUAUGCUCGAGUAGCACGCGGGCCCGCCUAGCCAUCGCGCAUGCUAGCUGCUGGGGAGCAGGGGUGGCUCGCGUGGUUGUGCUGGAGCAGCAUGCUAGCUGCUACGGGAGCAAGCCCGCCUAGCCGCCGCGUACAAGUCCCGCGCCGAUUCCUGUGUUGAAUCUCCAACCGCACAAGAUUCGGCUAAGCACGAGGGAUGGGGACGCCAAGCAAGAACCUGGACGGUUCCUGGCUUCCUGCAUGAAUGAUUGAGAGCUUAUUGUUCAAGAAAGGAAGAAGAAGGAUGCAGGUGGAGGUUGCAUGCUUCUAUAAUUAAGGGUGAAAAAACCGUAAAGGUGAAAAAGAACCCACGGCGACAUAUAUCUUCUAGUGCAAGAAGAAGCAAGGUUGUAAAUAAUGCAAUAAAAUUUUGGAUCUGUAAAUAAGUGAAGAAUUGGCUAAUGGAGGACUCAAGUUUGAAAGCUAAAGAGGAUAAAAGGAUAAGCACAAGGUAGAGGUUCCCUACAACAGAGUGUAUGUAGGUAAAGAAUUGACACAUACACAAUUAUUUGGUAGUCGGGACAAUAGCUUCAACAACCUGUACAGGUUUAAGGCUGAGAUGGAGAGGUGCUAUCCUGAAAGUUUUGUUGUUAUUGAUCAUCAUAAAGUUGAUGGGAAAAUCAGAUUUAGUAGGCUGUUUUUUCUAUGAAACCAUACAUUGAAGGCUUUCUAAAAGGAUCGAGAUCUUAUUUAUCAAUAGAUAGUAUAUUUUUUAUAGGAAGGUUUAAGGGGCACCUGGUAUGUGCAGUAGUUUUAGAUGGACACAACUGGAUGUAUCCGGUUGCUGUUGGAGUGAUGGAUUCGGAAACAAAUAAAAAUUAUAUCUGAUUUAUGCAAAAUCUUAGAUAUAGUAUUGGAUCACCAGAAGGCUUAGCUGUACGUACAGAUGCUGGACAAGGAGUGAUGACGGGAGUUAAGAAAGUGUUCCCAGUUGAAGAAUAUAGGAAAUACAUGCUACAUUUGAUGAUGAACUUAAAGAAAAGAUAUACAAAAAAGAUAUUUGAGGACCAUCUUUGGGCAGCAGCAUAUUUAUGGGCUCCAUACUUCUUUGAGAAGUAUUGAAAUGCAAUGGAUGAAGAAAAUUCAGAAGCAAUGAAUUAUACGAGGCAAUAUCAUACUAAGAUAUGGGCAAGAAGUUAAUUUUGGACCUAUUGUAAGGUUGACUAUGUCACAAAUAAUUUGGCAGAAUGCUUCAACAAUUGGGUAAAGAAAUAUAAGGGUUUCAAUUUGGACGACUUUAUGGAUAUGAUUAGACAACUUAUUAUGGAUAAGUGGGAUAUUAGAAAGGAUGUCUCAGCAAAGAUUGAAGGGGUCAUUUUGCCACACAUUAUGAAGGAGUUGAGGGAGCAAAGCAGGAACUUGGAUAUGGAUGUCCAUAGAAGUGGAGAUAUUCUUGGAGAGGUGGGUGUUAAGCGAUCUAGAAGAAAGAACUUGUUCAUGCAGGAAAUGGCAAGUAUUAGGAAUUUCAUGCAAACAUACAUUCCAUUCAUCACAUAUCUUAGGGAACCUUUUAAGAAAUAUGCUGACAACUAUUAUUCAAUUGAUUCAGAGCUGUUUAUGAGUCUCUCGUUCCUGCCAUGCCUAACAAAGCACAAUGGCCACAGUCUGAUAAUGGUUUUUUCAUGCAUCCACCAUUCAUAAAAUCUACAGCGGGUAAAAAGACAGAACCAAAGAUUUAAAGGUUGUACAAAAGGUAGCACAGCAAGAAAGAAAGGGUUAUAUCUGUGCAAAGUUUGCAAGAAAUAUGGCCAUCGCUGAUAUAAGUGUUGUACUGAAGGUAGUAUUGUACCUAUUGGUCUAACACCUAAGAUAAUGAAUUUUCCUCCUAGA